CCUGGGGCGGCACGGGUGGGCGCGGCGGCACCUGGUGGGCGCCGAGCGGCGUUCGGUCCGCCCCGCGCGG
rnacentral:tRNA from 1 species